AAAAAACUUGUAUGUUUCAAUAGAGUGAAUUGUUUAUUUCAUCUGUAGUUGCUGACCUGCAAUUUGUAACAUCAUAAAUCCCUACUUUGAUGAACCCAAAUAAAUGCUUUAAAGGAAUUUGUAUUUGCACAUUGUAGCUGUCAUGGUUCAUGGCAUUGUUAAAAUGCAAAGUUUCUGCGUUACCUUGUGACUAAGAGGGUCCAAUUUUAAUAACUGAAUUUUUGGGAGUGUGAGACUACUGGUUGGCUAUUGUUGAUGUUAU
rnacentral:misc_RNA from 1 species